GACAUACUCCCUCCGUCGGGAAAUACUUGUCCUAGAAAUAGAUGUAUCUAGACUUAUUUUAGUUAUAGAUACAUCCAUUUUAUCCAUUUUUAGGACAAGUAUUUUCGGACGGAGGGAGUAUAAA
rnacentral:pre_miRNA from 1 species